CUUCGUCCCACAGCAGGGGAUGGGAAUGUUUGGAGGGACAGCGCCAGUUGGGGGACCGUACCCAGGGAUGGGACCGCCGCCAUCGACAUCAGCCUACCCAGGAUUCUAUCCAGAUGCGGGCGUCGGACCUUCUUCCUCAGCACAACCUGGGUUCGUCUCAGACACGUUCGUUCCAGAUAGCGGUG